CGGGAGGAUGAGCUGAUAUCAUGAGCCGCUGGGAUGAGGCUCCUUUGAGAUGCAUGGGCACAUCCUUUUUCUCACCUCAUCCUCCUGGGCCCUCCAGGCUGACAGAUGCAGAGGAUGCCUCAUUUGAGACAGCUCUUCAAGACCCAACCUACCUGUCACUCUGGACAGCUGAAGUAAGACUUCUCUCUUCUCCUCCAGCUCAGCAUCCAGCUGAUGCUGCAACUGAGAGACUUUCUGCUGUAGCGGUUCUCCUCCACGCUCUUGGCUCCAGUGGGGAGGAUUACUGCUGUCCAGCAUGCUGAACCCGAGAAGUAAGGAGGGAGGGGGGAUUUGUCAGAUGGAUACUCAAAGGUGUUUGACAAAAUGUCUUUAUUACACAGUCUCAGCAUCUCCUGGGCCUAGUUCAUCAUUCACUGCCCUACAUGUUUUUGUCUGCCCCUGCUUUAUCUGUAACUGUCAGUUACCAACUGCCUUGGAACUUUGGGUCCUAUUGAGUUCUUUAGCAUCACUUCUGUUUAGGCCCCAAAUAGCCCACUGGGCAAACCACCCAAGUCGCAUCUAUUUCCCAAGGAACUCCUCUAGCAUGACGGCUUUCUUUAGUCGGGAAACUGUGUACCAGGACAUUCUCAGGCCUGCUGGAUUAAAAUGAGGAACAAAAUACUCCUCUUUUCCUCGCUCUAUUCCUCUAUCUACCAUCACCAGUGGCUAGUUUAGAGAAUACUUGCCUUUGAACUAAAAUAUACUACACUGAGCCCAGCUGGCGUGGCUCAGUGGUUGAAUAUCUACCUAUAAACCAGGAGGUCACGGUUCAAUUCCUGGUUAGGGCUCCAUCCCUCAUGGCGGGUGUGCAGAAGGCAGCCAAUCAAUGAUUCUCUCUCAUCAUGAUGUUUCUAUCCCUAUUUCCCUCUCCCUUCCUCUCUGAAAUCAAAAUAUUUAAAAAAAUUACUAGGAAGGCAGGAACUAGUAGUUUCAACUUUUCAGUGACUAUACCCUACAAACACCAUUGUAUGUAGCUGUCAGGGCAGACCAAUUUUGGGUUUGUUUGUUUGUUUUGUUACUCCUCAUCCAGUGAUAUUUUUACCAUUGAUUUUUAGUAAGAGAGGAAGAGAAGGGGGAGGGGGAGAGAGAAGUAAGCGAGAGAAACAUCAAUGUGAAAGAGACACCUUGAUUGGCUGCCUCACACAAGCGCUCCAACAGGAGCCAGGGAACAAACCUGCCACCCAGGUAGGUGCCCUUGACCAGGAAGCGAACCUGAGACCUUUAGGUUCUUGGGCUGACACUCUACCACUGAGCCACUCUGGCCAGGGCAGGGCAGACCCAUUUUGAAUGUAAACACACAUGGCCAGUCCUUAGUUGUUUACACAAGUGGAGUUAUAUUGACAAACUGUUAUUUCUGCUUAUGUCUUUUUUUCCUAUUUAUCACUUCAAUAAAUGUGGUCUAAAAACAA